ACUUGACGACCAGAGCUGCUUUUGGCAAGGUGCCAUGGCAGGCUCUCCACAGAAGCGGUUGAGGAUUUGAGAAGAGGUUGCAGAUCAUCAAGGAGCGACACGUGCAGGGAUGGCUUGAAAACGGUGAUUAGCUUCAGGUUCCAGGUGGGACCUAGUGGUAACUGAGUUGCAGGUAUUCCAUGACAGAGCUCGUUCUGCCUGGGCUGCUUUUUGGGGU
rnacentral:lncRNA from 1 species